AUUGAACGCUGGCGGCAAGGCCUAAUACAUGCAAGUCGAACGGUAACAUAGAAAGCUUGCUUUCUUGAUGACGAGUGGCGGACGGGUGAGUAAUAUUUUGGGGAAAGCUACCUGAUAGAGGGGGACAACAGUUGGAAACGACUGCUAAUACCGCAUAAGCCCACGGCUCGGCAUCGAGCAGAGGGAAAAGGAGCAAUCCGCUUUGAGAUGGCCUCGCGUCCGAUUAGCUAGUUGGUGAGGUAAACGGCCCACCAAGGCGACGAUCGGUAGCCGGACUGAGAGGUUGAACGGCCACAUUGGGACUGAGACACGGCCCAGACUCCUACGGGAGGCAGCAGUGGGGAAUAUUGCACAAUGGGGGAAACCCUGAUGCAGCGACGCCGCGUGGAGGAAGAAGGUCUUCGGAUUGUAAACUCCUGUUGUUGGGGAAGAUGAUGACGGUACCCAACAAGGAAGUGACGGCUAACUACGUG
rnacentral:rRNA from 1 species